GCUCCAAUGGGUCAGUGGUAGACUGGUUUCGUCAUGUGAACAAGUCCUACUCCAUUUUCGAAGCAGGCGUGGGUUCGACUCCCGCUUGGAGCG